rnacentral:rRNA from 2 species
CAGGUGGUGCAUGGUUGUCGUCAGCUCGUGUCGUGAGAUGUUGGGUUAAGUCCCGCAACGAGCGCAACCCUUAAGCUUAGUUGCCAUCAUUAAGUUGGGCACUCUAGGUUGACUGCCGGUGACAAACCGGAGGAAGGUGGGGAUGACGUCAAAUCAUCAUGCCCCUUAUGAUUUGGGCUACACACGUGCUACAAUGGAUAAUACAAAGGGCAGCGAAUCCGCGAGGCCAAGCAAAUCCCAUAAAAUUAUUCUCAGUUCGGAUUGUAGUCUGCAACUCGACUACAUGAAGCUGGAAUCGCUAGUAAUCGUAGAUCAGCAUGCUACGGUGAAUACGUUCCCGGGUCUUGUAC